rfam:Hoeflea sp. IMCC20628, complete genome.
AGAAUUCGGAGCGGCACCUCCUCCUCCCAAAUAGCCGCUUCGAUGUGACUGGUGUUCAUCCUCCUCCCGAGCAUCAGUCUCCCAAAAUGACGCCCACCGGAUCCUCCUCCCCCGGUGGGCGUUAUUU